CGGGUGAGUAACACGUAGACAACUUACCUCUUAGAGGGGGAUAGCCCGCCGAAAGGCGGGGUAAUACCGCGUAUCAUCAAGAAUCGGCAUCGGAUUUUGAUGAAACGUCCGCAAGGACGGCUAGGAGAGGGGUCUGCGGCCUAUCAGCUUGUUGGUGAGGUAACGGCUCACCAAGGCUACGACGGGUAUCCGGCCUGAAAGGGUGAUCGGACACACUGACACUGAGACACGGGUCAG
rnacentral:rRNA from 1 species